rnacentral:rRNA from 1 species
CAGCCGCCGCGGUAAUUCCGGCGGCCCGAGUGGCGGUCACUAUUAUUGGGCUUAAAGCGUCCGUAGCCGGGUUGGGAAGGCCUCCGGGAAAUCUGGCCGCUUAACGGUCAGAAUGCCGGAGGAUACUCCCAGCCUAGGGAGCGGGAGAGGCCGAGGGUAUUCCCGGAGUAGGGGGGAAAUCCUAUAAUCCCGGGAGGACCACCUGUGGCGAAGGCGCUCGGCUGGAACGCGUCCGACGGUGAGGGACGAAGGCCAGGGGAGCAAACCGGAUUAGAUACCCGGGUAGUCCUGGCUGUAAACGAUGCGGACUUUGUGUCGGACAAGCUAUGAGCUUGUCCGGUGCCGGAGGGAAACCGUUAAGUCCGCCGCCUGGGGAGUACGGCCGCAAGGCUGAAACUUAAAGGAAUUGGCGGG